rnacentral:rRNA from 1 species
CCUACGGGCGGCAGCAGUGGGGAAUAUUGGACAAUGGGCGAAAGCCUGAUCCAGCCAUGCCGCGUGUGUGAAGAAGGCCUUCGGGUUGUAAAGCACUUUCAGUGGGGAAGAAAGCCUUGGGGCUAAUACCCUCGAGGAAGGACAUCACCCACAGAAGAAGCACCGGCUAACUCCGUGCCAGCAGCCGCGGUAAUACGGAGGGUGCGAGCGUUAAUCGGAAUUACUGGGCGUAAAGCGCGCGUAGGCGGUCUGAUAAGCCGGUUGUGAAAGCCCCGGGCUCAACCUGGGAACGGCAUCCGGAACUGACAGGCUAGAGUGCAGGAGAGGAAGGUAGAAUUCCCGGUGUAGCGGUGAAAUGCGUAGAGAUCGGGAGGAAUACCAGUGGCGAAGGCGGCCUUCUGGACUGACACUGACGCUGAGGUGCGAAAGCGUGGGUAGCAAACAGGAUUAGAUACCCCAGUAGUC